rnacentral:rRNA from 1 species
GACGAACGCUGGCGGCGUGCUUAACACAUGCAAGUCGAACGGAAAGGCCCUGCUUUUGUGGGGUGCUCGAGUGGCGAACGGGUGAGUAACACGUGAGUAACCUGCCCUUGACUUUGGGAUAACUUCAGGAAACUGGGGCUAAUACCGGAUAGGAGCUCCUGCUGCAUGGUGGGGGUUGGAAAGUUUCGGCGGUUGGGGAUGGACUCGCGGCUUAUCAGCUUGUUGGUGGGGUAGUGGCUUACCAAGGCUUUGACGGGUAGCCGGCCUGAGAGGGUGACCGGCCACAUUGGGACUGCGGUACGGACCAGACUCAUACGGGAGGCAGCAGUGGGGAAUAUUGCACAAUGGGCGGAAGCCUGAUGCAGCAACGCCGCGUGCGGGAUGACGGCCUUCGGGUUGUAAACCGCUUUCGCCUGUGACGAAGCGUGAGUGACGGUAAUGGGUAAAGAAGCACCGGCUAACUACGUG